rnacentral:rRNA from 1 species
CAGCAGCCACGGGAAUACGAAGGGGGCUAGCGUUGCUCGGAAUGACUGGGCGUAAAGGGCGCGUAGGCGGAUUGUUUAGUUAGGCGUGAAAUUCCUGGGCUUAACCUGGGGACUGCGCUUAAUACAGGCAGUCUAGAGUGAGGAAGAGGGUUGUGGAAUUCCCAGUGUAGAGGUGAAAUUCGUAGAUAUUGGGAAGAACACCGGUGGCGAAGGCAGCCCCAUGGGCCAAUACUGACGCUCAUGCACGAAAGCGUGGGGAGCAAACAGGAUUAGAUACCCCGGUAGUCCCUGUCUCUUAUAC